rnacentral:rRNA from 1 species
GGGGAAUUUUCCGCAAUGGGCGAAAGCCUGACGGAGCAAGACCGCGUGGGGGAAGAAGGCUCUUGGGUUGUAAACUCCUUUUCUCUGGGAAGAACAGAAUGACGGUACCAGAGGAAUCAGCAUCGGCUAACUCCGUGCCAGCAGCCGCGGUAAGACGGAGGAUGCAAGCGUUAUCCGGAAUGAUUGGGCGUAAAGCGUCCGCAGGUGGCAGUUCAAGUCUGCUGUCAAAGACCGGGGCUCAACCUCGGAAAGGCAGUGGAAACUGAACAGCUAGAGUAUGGUAGGGGCAAAGGGAAUUCCUGGUGUAGCGGUGAAAUGCGUAGAGAUCAGGAAGAACAUCGGUGGCGAAGGCGCUUUGCUGGACCAUAACUGACACUCAGGGACGAAAGCUAGGGGAGCGAAUGGGAUUAGAUACCCCAGUAGUCCUAGCCGUAAACGAUGGAUACUAGGUGUUGUCUGUAUCGACCCGGACAGUGCCGUAGCUAACGCGUUUAAGUAUCCCGCCUGGGGAGUACGCACGCAAGUGUGAAACUCAAAGGAAUUGACG